GCUCAGUAAACCAGUCAUGAUUCACUCGAGUAUACAUGACUGUCUUUGGAUAACUGUGGUAAUCCUAGAGCUAAUACAUGCAACCAAGUCCCGACCAGUCUGACUGGGAAGGACGCUUUUAUUAGAUCAAGACCAAUCGCCCGGCUCGUCCGGGCGUUGCCUUGGUGACUCUAGGUAACACAUCAGAUCGCAUGGUCUCAGCACCGGCGACUUAUCCUUCAAAUGCCUGACUUAUCAACUGUCGAUGGUAGACUCCAUGUCUACCAUGGUUGUAACGGGUAACGGGGAAUCAGGGUUCGAUUCCGGAGAGGGAGCCUGAGAAACGGCUACCACAUCCAAGGAAGGCAGCAGGCACGCAAAUUACCCACUCCCGGCACGGGGAGGUAGUGACAAAAAAUAACGAUACGGGACUCUUAUGAGGCCCCGUAAUCGGAAUGAGUACACUUUAAAUCCUUUAACAAGGAUCCAUUGAAGGGCAAGUCUGGUGCCAGCAGCCGCGGUAAUUCCAGCUUCAAUAGCGUAUAUUAAAGUUGUUGCGGUUAAAAAGCUCGUAGUUGGUUCUGCGUGCUACGCUGUCGGUUCGCCGCCUGCCGGUGUAACUGGCAUGCCGUGUCAUGUCCUGUCGGUGGCGUGCGGGAGCCUUGUCAGGCGACGGCCCUCGCCCUCAAAAGCUUGGGUCCGGAGGCCGGAGGUCCAACCCGUGCGCCUGCUCUCUCCUACCUAGGUGCUCUUUACCGAGUGUCGAGGUAGGCCGACACGUUUACUUUGAACAAAUUAGAGUGCUCAAAGCAGGCUGAAAUCUCUGCCUGAAUAGUGGUGCAUGGAAUAAUAAAACAGGACCUUGGUUCUAUUUUGUUGGUUCUUAGGAACACAAGGUAAUGAUCAAUACGGACAGGCGGGGGCAUUCGUAUUGCGACGUUAGAGGUGAAAUUCUUGGAUCGUCGCAAGACGCACAAGAGCGAAAGCAUUUGCCAAGUAUGUCUUGAUUGAUCAAGAACGAAAGUUAGAGGUUCGAAGGCGAUCAGAUACCGCCCUAGUUCUAACCAUAAACGAUGCCAGCCAGCGAUCCGCCGAUGUUCCUCCGAUGACUCGGCGGGGAGCUUCUUCCCGGGAAACCAAAGCUUUUGGGUUCCGGGGGAAGUAUGGUUGCAAAGCUGAAACUUAAAGGAAUUGACGGAAGGGCACCACCAGGAGUGGAGCCUGCGGCUUAAUUUGACUCAACACGGGAAACCUCACCAGGCCAGGACAUUGGAAGGAUUGACAGAUUGAUAGCUCUUUCUUGAUUCAGUGGGUAGUGGUGCAUGGCCGUUCUUAGUUGGUGGAUCGAUUUGUCUGGUUAAUUCCGAUAACGAACGAGACUCUAGCCUAUUAACUAGGCGUUUUCCGGUGUCCCCGCCACCGGCGACAAUCAUUCUUCUUAAGGGGACAGGCGGCUUUUAGCCGCACGAGAUUGAGCAAUAACAGGUCUGUGAUGCCCUUAGAUGUCCUGGGCCGCACGCGCGCUAC
rnacentral:rRNA from 1 species